rnacentral:misc_RNA from 1 species
UCUCCGUAGGUGAACCUUCGGAGGGAUCAUUACCGAGCGAGGGCGCUUGCCGCCCGACCUCCCACCCCUUGAGAGAUCGACCCAACCUCCCUCGGGGUGAACCCCAAGUGGGCCCCCGGCGGGAACGUCCCGAAACUCGUCAAACUUCAGCGUCUGAGUGCAAUAGCAAAUCCAAACAAAACUUUCAACAACGGAUCUCUUGGUUCUGGCAUCGAUGAAGAACGCAGC